rnacentral:rRNA from 1 species
AUUGAACGCUGGCUGCAGGCCUAACACAUGCAAGUCGAACGCGUGGCGGGCGGGUGAGUGAUGUCUGGGAAACUCCCUGCUGUAGGGGGAUAACUACUGUAAACGGUAGCUAAUACCGCAUACCAUCGGAUGUGCGCAGAUGGGAUUAGCUAGUUGGUGGGGUAACGGCUCACCUAGGCGACGAUCCCUAGAUGGUCUGAGUGGAUGACAAGCCACACUGGAACUGAGACACGGUCCAGACUCCUACGGGAGGCGGCAGUGGGGAAUAUUGGACAAUGGGCGCAGGCCUGACGCAGCCAUGCCGCGUGUAGGAAGAAGGCCUUCGGGUUGUAAAGUUCUUUCAGCGGGGAGGCGUUACCCGAAGAAGAAGCACCGGCUAACUCCGUGCCAGCAGCCGCGGUAAUAC